rnacentral:rRNA from 1 species
AUUGAACGCUGGCGGCAUGCCUUACACAUGCAAGUCGAACGGUAACGGGCCUUCGGGUGCCGACGAGUGGCGAACGGGUGAGUAAUGUAUCGGAACGUACCUUUCAGUGGGGGAUAACGUAGCGAAUGUUACGCUAAUACCGCAUAUUCUGUGAGCAGGAAAGCAGGGGAUCGCAAGACCUUGCGCUGAUUGAGCGGCCGAUAUCAGAUUAGCUAGUUGGUGAGGUAAAGGCUCACCAAGGCGACGAUCUGUAGCGGGUCUGAGAGGAUGAUCCGCCAGCCUGGAACGGAGACACGGUCCAGACUCCUACGGGAGGCAGCAGUGGGGAAUUUUGGACAAUGGGGGCAACCCUGAUCCAGCCAUGCCGCGUGAGUGAAGAAGGCCUUCGGGUUGUAAAGCUCUUUCGGCCGGGAAGAAAUCGUAUCAGCUAAUACCUGGUGCGGAUGACGGUACCGGCAUAAGAAGCACCGGCUAACUACGUGCCAGCCGCCGCCGUAACAC